GGAUGAACGCUGGCGGCGUGCCUAAUACAUGCAAGUCGAGCGAACAGAUAAGGAGCUUGCUCCUUUGACGUUAGCGGCGGACGGGUGAGUAACACGUGGGUAACCUACCUAUAAGACUGGGAUAACUUCGGGAAACCGGAGCUAAUACCGGAUAACAUUUGGAACCGCAUGGUUCUAAAGUGAAAGAUGGUUUUGCUAUCACUUAUAGAUGGACCCGCGCCGUAUUAGCUAGUUGGUAAGGUAACGGCUUACCAAGGCGACGAUACGUAGCCGACCUGAGAGGGUGAUCGGCCACACUGGAACUGAGACACGGUCCAGACUCCUACGGGAGGCAGCAGUAGGGAAUCUUCCGCAAUGGGCGAAAGCCUGACGGAGCAACGCCGCGUGAGUGAUGAAGGGUUUCGGCUCGUAAAACUCUGUUAUUAGGGAAGAACAAACGUGUAAGUAACUGUGCACGUCUUGACGGUACCUAAUCAGAAAGCCACGGCUAACUACGUG
rnacentral:rRNA from 1 species